AACGAACGCUGGCGGCAUGCCUAACACAUGCAAGUCGAACGAGAUCUUCGGGUCUAGUGGCGCACGGGUGCGUAACGCGUGGGAAUCUGCCCUUUGGUUCGGAAUAACAGUUGGAAACGACUGCUAAUACCGGAUGAUGACGAAAGUCCAAAGAUUUAUCGCCAGAGGAUGAGCCCGCGUAGGAUUAGCUAGUUGGUGUGGUAAAGGCGCACCAAGGCGACGAUCCUUAGCUGGUCUGAGAGGAUGAUCAGCCACACUGGGACUGAGACACGGCCCAGACUCCUACGGGAGGCAGCAGUGGGGAAUAUUGGACAAUGGGCGAAAGCCUGAUCCAGCAAUGCCGCGUGAGUGAUGAAGGCCUUAGGGUUGUAAAGCUCUUUUACCCGGGAUGAUAAUGACGGUACCUGAAGAAUAAGCACCGGCUAACUACGUGCCAGCCGCCGCCGUAA
rnacentral:rRNA from 1 species